rnacentral:sRNA from 1 species
AUAAUAUAUGCACUAUCCGGAAAUGUUGGACUUUUUUAUUUAGAUAUAUAUAUAUAUAUAUAUAUAUAUAUAUAUAUAUAUAUAUAUAUAUAUAUCUAAAUAAAAAAGUCCAACAUUUCCGGAUAGUGCAUAUAUUAU